rnacentral:rRNA from 1 species
GAUGAACGCUAGCGGCAGGCCUAACACAUGCAAGUCGAGGGGUAACUAGAGUGAUAGCAAUAUUACUUUGGCUAGACCGGCGCACGGGUGCGUAACACGUAUGCAACCUACCUUAUACUGGGGAUAACUUCGAGAAAUCGGCGCUAAUACCCCAUAACACUGCGGAGAGGCAUCUCUUUGCAGUUAAAGCCCCGGCGGUAUAAGAUGGGCAUGCGUCCAAUUAGAUAGUUGGUGAGGUAACGGCUAACCAAGGCUACGAUUGGUAGCGGUUCUGAGAGGAUGAUCCCCAACACUGGUACUGAGACACGGACCAGACUCCUACGGGAGGCAGCAGUGAGGAAUAUUGCGCAAUGGACGAAAGUCUGACGCAGCCAUGCCGCGUGCAGGAUGACGGCCCUAUGGGUUGUAAACUGCUUUUGUACGGGAAUAAACCCUUCUACGUGUAGGAGGCUGAAGGUACCGUAAGAAUAAGCACCGGCUAACUCCGUGCCAGCCGCCGCAGUAA